rnacentral:lncRNA from 1 species
AGUUGUACUAUCCAUUAGAGAUACACCAUGAAUGAAAAUGUUUUUCAAGCUUGCAUUUUCAAGAAUCCCAUUAUAUUCUUAAUUAACCUAGUCCAAUAUAAUCAUUGAUAAAUCAUUAUAAAUUCUGAAAGACCAAUCUAACAUUGGAGGAGAUGAUGAUGAUUAAUCCAAUAAGAACAUCAAUCAAACUGAUUCCACACAUACUUAAAACAAUCUUAAUCGCUGGAAACAGAAGAGCUCAUAAAUUACCGCCACAUGCGUCGGGGAGCUUGAAACAACACAUCGCUAAAACCUCCCCGACAAAACUUGGAGGCAAGACCGCCG